rnacentral:rRNA from 1 species
UACGAAGGGGGCUAGCGUUGUUCGGAAUUACUGGGCGUAAAGCGCACGUAGGCGGCCUAUUAAGUCAGGGGUGAAAUCCCGGGGCUCAACCCCGGAACUGCCUUUGAUACUGGUAGUCUCGAGUCCGAGAGAGGUGAGUGGAAUUCCGAGUGUAGAGGUGAAAUUCGUAGAUAUUCGGAGGAACACCAGUGGCGAAGGCGGCUCACUGGCUCGGUACUGACGCUGAGGUGCGAAAGCGUGGGGAGCAAACAGG